UACGUAGGGUGCGAGCGUUAAUCGGAAUUACUGGGCGUAAAGCGUGCGCAGGCGGUUCGUUAAGUUCGUUGUGAAAGCCCCGGGCUCAACCUGGGAACUGCAAUGGAAACUGGCGGGCUUGAGUGUGGCAGAGGGGGGUGGAAUUCCCGGUGUAGCGGUGAAAUGCGCAGAUAUCGGGAGGAACACCUAUGGCGAAGGCAGCUCGCUGGGACGUUACUGACGCUGAGACGCGAAAGCGUGGGGAGCAAACAGG
rnacentral:rRNA from 1 species